CUUUGUUGAUCCUGCCAGUAAUCAUAUGCUUGUCUUAAAGUUUAAGCUGUGCAUGUGUAAGUAUGAGCUAAUUCAAACUGUGAAAAUGUGAAUGAUUCAUUAAAUCAAUUAUAGUUUGUUUGAUGAUACUUGCUACUCCAAUAAUCGUAGUAAUUCUAGAGCUAAUACGUGCAACAAACCCCGACUUCAAGAUAAAAGGUCGACGCAGACCAAAUUCGUUGCUAUGAUGAUUCAUGAUAAUUUGACGGAUCGCACGAUCUUUGUGCCGGCGAUGCAUCAUUGAAAUUUUUGUCUUAUCAACUUUCGAUGUUAGGAUAAGAGCCUACUAUGGUGGUGACGAGUGACAGAGAAUUUGGGUUCGAUUCCAGAGAGGGAGCGUGAGAAACGACUACCAAAUCCAAGAAAGGCAGUAGGCUCGCAAAUUACUCAAUCCUGACACAUGGAGGUAGUGACAAUAAAUAACAAUAAAAGGCUCUUCGAGUCUGGUAACUGAAAUGAGUACAAUCUAAAUUUCUUAAUGAGGAUCUAUUGGAGGGCAAGUCUCGUGUCAACAAUUGCGGUAACUCCAGCUCCAAUAACAUAUAUUUAAGUUGUUGCAGUUAAAAAGCUGGUAGUUGGAUUUCAUGAUGUCUGCCGAUCUGCCUUAUGGUGUGCACCGUCGGUCACUCUCUUUCUGACGGCGAUGUGUUCAUGGCCUUAAUUGUCCGGGUCAUUCCUACAACGUUGUUAUUUUGAAGAAAUUAGAGUGCUCAAAGCAAGCAAUCGCUCUGUACACAUUAGCAUGAGAUAACGUCAUAGAAUUUCGAUCAUAUUCUGAUGGCCUUUGAUAUCAGAGUAAUGAUAAACAGAGUCAGUCAGGGACAUUCGUAUUUCAUAAUCAUAAAUGAAAUUCUUCGAUUUGUGAAAGACGAACAAGUGUAAAAGCAUUUGUCAAAGAUGUUUUUACUAAUCAAGAACGAAAAUUAAGGGUUCGAAGAUGAUCAGAUAACAUCCUAGUCUCAACCAUAAACGAUGUCGACUAGGGAUCGACAAAUGUUGCUUAUAAGAUAUCACCAACACCUUAUGAAAAAUCAAAGUCUUUAGGUUUUAGAGAGAGUAUGAUUGCAAGACUAAAACUUAAAAUAGUUGAUAGAAGGGCACCAUUGGGAAUUAGAGCCGGCAAACGAGCGAGCUGGCUUGCCAGCUCGCUCGGCCGGCUUGUAUUUUUGUCGAGCCGACCCAGGCUCGGACCAGAACAGUACCGAGCCUGGCUCGCUCGAGCCCGAGCCGAGCUCGCCAAAAGAGGCUUGCGAGCUCGACGAGGCUCGACGUCGCGCCUCUUCGGGCCGUCCGUCGUCGUCGCCAGAUCUGGUCGCCUCGUCGCCGCUCGUCGCCUCUCGCUCGUCGCCUCGUCGAGGCGUCGACGAGAAGGAGGGGGAGGGAGGGAGGGGGAGAGAGAGAGAGAGAGACCUGCCGGCUCUAGCCCCAGGUCGCCCCCUCUCUCUCUCUCUCUCUCUCGCCAGCAGAGCAGCCGACGUGGGCUGCUUGCAACGGGCUGAUGAGGGAAAUUCGUCUUAUUUAAUGUAGGAAAAUACAAAACCGAAUUGAAAUGUUAUUUGAGAUUAUAUUAGUAAAAAAUCACAAACUAUUAUUUUAGAUAGAUGUAGUUACGAUAUGAUUAAUUUGUUUCUUGAUUUUUUGAAACCGUUUUUUGAAGCAACAAAAGAAUUUUCAAGAAUUUAUUA
rnacentral:rRNA from 1 species